UCCGGAUUAGAUACCCUGGUAGUCCUAGCCGUAAACGAUGAACACUAGGUGUGGGGGGAGUCGAAUCCCUCUGUGCCGCAGCCAACGCGUUAAGUGUUCCGCCUGGGGAGUACGGCCGCAAGGCUAAAACUCAAAAGAAUUGACGGGGGCCCGCACAAGCAGCGGAGCAUGUUCUUUAAUUCGAUGCAACGCGAAGAACCUUACCUGGGCUUGACAUGGCGCUGCAAGCGCACGGAAACGUGUGACCUUCGAGGGUGCGCCACAGGUGCUGCGUGGCUGUCGUCAGCUCGUGUCGUGAGAUGUUGGGUUAAGUCCCGCAACGAGCGCAACCCCCGUGGCGUGUUGCCAGCAUUUAGUUGGGGACUCACGCCAGACUGCCGGUGACAAACCGGAGGAAGGU
rnacentral:misc_RNA from 1 species